ACACAGCACCCUCCUCACGGCGCGCACACCCACAUCGGCAUGCAUUCCGGUACCAGUCACCUUGGAGCUGGCCAAACUUGGGGAUCCAAAAAGCGGUCCUGCUUCCUAGCGGGUGUUGAGCUCUGCAGCGUCGUCCCCCACGAACCUCCCUGCCCCCUGCUCCUGAUUCCCUUUCAGGAAUUUACAAACAUUUUUCCCUAGAUCAAUAUCCGUAUUGAUUAUUCAUUGUGAGCGAGUCGUGUGUCUUUGGUGAUCCAGCUUGCAGAGGGUAGCAGCUAAAGACGGCUGCAGGGGGAGAAAAAUAACAGAAGGUGAGAAGGACCCAGCUCUGGCUGAGGUCUGCGGCUGUCACAUCACAGAGAGGAGGAGGAAGAAGAAGAGAAUGGUCCAGAAUGAAAGGAUGGAGAAGGGUGUAAAAGAAAGAGGACGCAACUGCAAGAAAGAAAGAUGUGAGGACUGCAUUGGUCUUAGGGAUCUCAAUGGCUUGGAGGAAAGCCCCAUCAACUUGGGUCUGCUGCUAGGUGCAAAAUGCCGAGCUGUUCCUCUGCUCUGGGAGUGAAAAGUGACUCACGGUUUUGGUGUCUUCCUACGUAAGAGCUUUUGGUGGGGGGAUUCCUUGGCUUGCUGACAGACAAGGAAGGACGCAGCAGCAGUGAGGUAAAAGAAGAGGAAGGAAAAAAAAAAAAAAAAAAGCAACCCAGUCCUUUCCAACCGCCUUGCCGACGAUGCGCACCCGUUCGGUUUGAUUUGAACAGCUUGCUGCUCUAAAUGGCAUGCGGAAGGAGGAUAAUUAAAAAGGCCAGCAUCACUUACUAAGUGAGUAAACACAAAGCCGUUCCAAACGUGCUCUCCAGCUAAUGAGGAGCUGUGAUUUCUUAUACUUCAAGGCAAAACAAGACAGGGAUGGGGGCUCGCUCAGCCGAGUGUAUGUCUGCAUGGGGAUGUGGAAAUGGGGGGUGGGCAGUGGUCCUUGCUGAUGGAGAUAAAUCGACUAAUUGUUGGUGAUAUUUAAAAAGGGGAUUACUGGAAAAAGACAGUGAGAGGAUGACAGGAAGACAUCUUGGACCAGAGCCAAAAAAUAAUAAUAAUCAAGGCAAAUCAAGUCUGCAAUUCGGAGGAAACACCCAUGACUUGGGAAGCUCCCGAUGGGAACAUGGGAACCCGCUGGAGUUCCAAAGCCGAGUCUGGGAAUAUUGUUGUGGGCACAAGAGGACAAGAUUCAGGAGAGAGUCAUGGCAUGCCGGCUUACACAGCUGUGCCACACACUGAGGAAAAAGAAAACCCAAACCAAAUCCACACCAGACCCAAACAGUGAAAGCCAACAUAUAUCCUUUGCAUUGGAGUCUUUGUGCUGGCUCCAAGUCAUCCCAUCUAUUUAAAGCAAUUCCACAACGUGCCUCCUGCUAGUAGCUGCUAGUCCUCUUGCCUGUCUCCAGAAGCUGCCUCGCUGUUGCAGGGUGAUAGUGGGAAGACGUGGUUGGGAAAAAUCAGUUUUCCAUUGGCUGGGCUUCUGGCAAAUGUGCCAGGUGAUUGUUGUUGCCAUUUGGACCGACCUACGGGAGCUGGUUGGGAAUUCCUCUUCUGGUGUCUCCCAGCUGUGGCUUGAGGUCCUGGUGUUCUUUAAUGAGAUACAAAGACUGGGAGAUGACCAGACUCCACUGGCAGCAGAAAGAGGCCUCCUGCUGCUAUUCCCUAGCACCAAGGACUCAACAAUGACCCUAGUAAAGUCUCUGCACCCUGAUAAGGUCUCUCACUGAAUCUAAAGCCUGUUGAUUUGAGCAGACUGGCUGACUAGGAAGCUCCCAGGAUCUGUGUGUCUAUACCUUUCAAUGCUGGGACUAUAGAUGUUUGGUAUGUCCAGUUUUUUCAAGGAUGUUGGAAAUUUGAACUCAGGUCCUCAUGUUUGUACAGCAAACACUUACUUUACCAAGCCAUCUUCCCAGACUCCAGGGCUCCAUUUAAGUAAAAAGUCUGAAUGGUGCUAAUGGCUAUAGGCUCUGGGAGAUUCACUGCGUGGUAGGAAGCUGCUCUUCAUGGAGAGAAAGGCUGUGAAACAAGAUGCGGGCUCUUUGAUCUUGGUUCUCACAGAGGCUCCCUUGGCCCUUCUGUCCCCUAUGGGGAAUGGGUAGAUACAGUGUUGCUUCAAUGCAAUUGGCAGAAGAGGAUCUGCCUGGCUGUUUCUGGAAACUAGCACUUACUUCUUUAAAGGGUCCACGAGACUAUCUGAACUCACAAGGGAGAGCCAAAGUGCUGGAGGUACCCACAGAAUUCUGGGAAGUGUUACAUGUCAUACCAAGAGAGCACGAACAUUCACUAGUAGCACACUCAAGGAUUCCCAGCACCCUGGGCAUGGCUGAAUGGCUGUAGAAAGACGUGCUAGGGAUUCCUUCAAGUCCUGUUGGUACUCAGCUGUGGAGACUGCUGUGGUCCUUCCUUCUCAAGACCUGGUGUUCGGAGGAACAAGAUUUGAAUAACAGAGGGCUUCUCAGCUACAGACCUUGGAUGGCUGUGUUCCCAGAUGUGACCUUUUCAAGUGAAUUUAGAGCUGUGAACCCAGGAUCAAGAUAAGGAGUCUACGAGUGAAGCCAGGAUCAAGACAAGGAGUCUACAAGUGAUAAACUCUGAAUCCAGGAUCCAGGGUAGUACCCACUGGGGCCUAAGGUGCUGGGUGGACCUGGUUAUGAGCACAGCUUCACCAUACCCCAUUUGGAAGCAGGCUUUAUCCUAGCUGAAAGGAUGUCACAAUGAAUGUUAAUGCCACACCAUUUAUUAGAAAAGCAGGGACACUAUAACUACGUGUCUUCCUUCUAAAUACCCCUGUCUUGAUGAAAGUCUACUUAUUUAGAUUUGACAUUCUUGAAAUAAGCAAUAAAGUGAGGUUUGCCUUCUCACUCUUAAA